CUGAACAAUUGGAUAUGUAAUUCCUUCCCACGUGCAAUUCCUCCUUCUUUGCUGUUGGUGGAGACAAUUAAAGAAGUGCCCUGGCAUGUGGGUACAAAUGGAGUCUUUAAGCUGACAUGCAAUCCUACCCAACUCAGCAGAGAGGGUUGGAAUAGAACUCCAGGCUGGGGAACUAAGUUUGCAUUUUACUCCAAAAUCAAAUAUCUUCUUGGGAAACCUCUGACACAGAUUGGUGGUAUAGAUUUGUAGCUAAGAGUCGGAGGUCUAAAUUUAGAAUGGAAUUAAACCUCAUCUUCAACAUUUAUUAGCUGUGUGACCUUGG